rnacentral:tRNA from 1 species
AAUGAUAUGCCUGAUCUUUAAAAGGAUUAUUUUGAUAGAAUAAAUUAUGUAUAAUUAAAUAUACUUUCAUUA